AGCUCCAAUAGCGUAUAUUAAAGUUGUUGCAGUUAAAAAGCUCGUAGUUGGAUUUCUGGUGAAAGCGUUUGGACGGCCCAAUGGGUUUGUUCCGAUACGUCUUUUGCCAUUCUUGAAGGGAACUUGUCUGGCAUUAAGUUGUCGGGCUUGGGAUCUUCAUCGUUUACUGUGAAAAAAUUAGAGUGUUCAAAGCAGGCUUAUGCCGUUGAAUACAUUAGCAUGGAAUAAUAAGAUAGGACCUUGGCACUAUUUUGUUGGUUUGCGUACCUAGGUAAUGAUUAAUAGGGACAGUUGGGGGUAUUCGUAUUCAAUUGUCAGAGGUGAAAUUCUUGGAUUUAUGGAAGACGAACUACUGCGAAAGCAUUUACCAAGGAUGUUUUCAUUA
rnacentral:rRNA from 1 species